UGCUCCGCUUCCGGGAGGCGGGGCUUCUGCGGGUUCCACCUCCCGAGCGCCCCUUGUGGCUACCAAGGACAGGCAACAGAGACAGGGUCUCACCAUGUAGGCCAGAUUAGUCUUGAACUCCUGGGCUCAAGCAAUCCGCCCAUCUUGGCCUCCCAAAGUGCUGGGAUUAUAGGUGUGAGCCACCGCGCCCGGCAACCCAGAAGUGGUUUUGACAGCACCAGCGCUUUCUGUGUCCACAAUCUACUCCCAACUAGAGGUCCACCCAGGACCCAGAGACCUGGAUUUGAGGCUGCUGGGCGGCAGAUGGAGCGAUCAGAAAACCAGAGGCACCCCAAUGAGAAAGAAAAAGUCAUGACCAGAAGUCAGUGUCAGUGAUUGCUGAUGUGUGGAACCAUCUGAUGAAUGAAGAGUUUGGGUAAAAAAUAAAGGGAACUGAUGAAAA